rnacentral:rRNA from 1 species
GGAGGAUCCGAGCGUUAUCCGGAUUUAUUGGGUUUAAAGGGAGCGUAGAUGGAUGUUUAAGUCAGUNGUGAAAGUNUGCGGCUCAACCGUAAAAUNGCAGUUGAUACUGGAUAUCUUGAGUGCAGUUGAGGCAGGCGGAAUUCGUGGUGUAGCGGUGAAAUGCUUAGAUAUCACGAAGAACUCCGAUUGCGAAGGCAGCCUGCUAAGCUGCAACUGACAUUGAGGCUCGAAAGUGUGGGUAUCAAACAGGAUUAGAUACCCUGUAGUCCACACGGUAAACGAUGAAUACUCGCUGUUUGCGAUAUACGGCAAGCGGCCAAGCGAAAGCGUUAAGUAUUCCACCUGGGGAGUACGCCGGCAACGGUGAAACUCAAAGGA